rnacentral:rRNA from 1 species
CGGACGGGUGAGUAACACGUGGGUAACCUACCUAUAAGACUGGGACAACUUCGGGAAACCGGAGCUAAUACCGGAUAAUAUGUUGAACCGCAUGGUUCAAUAGUGAAAGAUGGUUUUGCUAUCACUUAUAGAUGGACCCGCGCCGUAUUAGCUAGUUGGUGAGGUAACGGCUCACCAAGGCAACGAUACGUAGCCGACCUGAGAGGGUGAUCGGCCACACUGGAACUGAGACACGGUCCAGACUCCUACGGGAGGCAGCAGUAGGGAAUCUUCCGCAAUGGGCGAAAGCCUGACGGAGCAACGCCGCGUGAGUGAUGAAGGUCUUAGGAUCGUAAAACUCUGUUAUUAGGGAAGAACAAACGUGUAAGUAACUGUGCACGUCUUGACGGUACCUAAUCAGAAAGCCACGGCUAACUACGUGCCAGCAGCCGCGGUAAUACGUAGGUGGCAAGCGUUAUCCGGAAUUAUUGGGCGUAAAGCGCGCGUAGGCGGUUUUUUAAGUCUGAUGUGAAAGCCCACGGCUCAACCGUGGAGGGUCAUUGGAAACUGGAAAACUUGAGUGCAGAAGAGGAAAGUGGAAUUCCAUGUGUAGCGGUGAAAUGCGCAGAGAUAUGGAGGAACACCAGUGGCGAAGGCGACUUUCUGGUCUGUAACUGACGCUGAUGUGCGAAAGCGUGGGGAUCAAACAGGAUUAGAUACCCUGGUAGUCCACGCCGUAAACGAUGAGUGCUAAGUGUUAGGGGGUUUCCGCCCCUUAGUGCUGCAGCUACGCAUUAAGCACUCCGCCUGGGG